UACCUAGCUCAUUGUUUGGAUUAACUAACUUACGAUCUGACCUUAAUGGAAAGCCCACAAUCAGAUUUUUCUAAGCUUUCCACCCACAGCCACUCUCCCCUAUCCUCCCCCCACUUCUAUAAGUAGCCAUGAAUGUAUCUUCUUCAUAACCAUAAAACCAGUUGCAAAAGCUAAAAACUGUAGUGAUAAAGAAACUUCAACACCAUGAAGUCCAAGUUCUUGAUGUACAUCUUGCUACUUGUGAUGGCUGACAUGACUUCUGCCGCGAAUAGAAAGAUGUUGGCUAUUGAAGAUAACAAACUGUUGGGCGAUCAGAUAUCAAGCAAGGAAAACGAGAAGGUCGUAGUGAAGGAAAAUUCGGCAGAUAGCAGUGGUGAGCCUGAUGUAAAUAAUCAUCAUAGCAUUCCAAGGCAAUCAUUCGGUGGCUAUACAAAUAAUCAAAAUGGACCACCGCAAAGCCCUUAAAUGGCCGUACCCUAUGGCCUCUUGUCGUGCUUUCUGAAGUGGAGCAACUUAAUUGUAUGAUAUAUUUAAAUGCAUGUAGAAGAUGGUGUGUACGCUUGAAUGUGCAGACAUGGAUUGGUUUAUUCAGCUGUUCGAAGUUUGGAAUGUAUAACGUAUUAUGGAUCUAGCAAGGACCAAAAAGCAAUAAUAGAAAAAAUUACAUUUAGCCUUCUAUUAUUUCAUAUUUUUUUGACUUUCACUCUGUUUUUUUUAUAAAUUAAACUUUAUAUAAUUGAUUGAAUAAAAUUUUUAAAUUUAAUGAAACGAUAAAAUUAACCUCAUAUAUAAUAUAUCAUAAUUUUUCUCUUUCCUUCUAUCUUUUCACUCUUUUUUUUUUUCAAUAAUUAAAAACCCUAAAUCAAACAUGAAAAAUAAUCAGCGCGCACAUGUAUUGUUAUAGUUAAUGUUGUUGAUAAUUAUCAAACUAUGAGGGAGAUGGAUUGAGGAAAUGUUACAGUAGAACAUCUAGUAUGUGCAUUAUAGGAAGUGGAUUGGACAUGAUCUCUUGUUAAUGAAUUCUUCUCUAAUUUCGUUAUUCCUCGUUCUUACUCGAAGUGGAGUAUAAAGAGAUUUACGAAGAGAUGAAGUAAUGAAAUGUUUUUCCUCAGUUCUUAGAGGAUUACAUACUGUUUUAUUUAUAGCAGGUUUUGGAUGAGAACAACUCUGUUACAAGAUGCAUUUGAAAGUAUUUGAAUUUACAUAGAGUUUGUUAUUUCCUGAACGUGAGCUUCUUCUUCUUCUCGGUUGUUUUGAAUUUGAUCUUUAUCCAUUUGUUGAGAUUUAUCUUGAGCUUUAUCUCAUGCAUGAGCUUUAUCCGGUGCAGGAGAUUCAGUUGCGCCAUUACGCCCCCUCAAUCGCAACGGGAGCUCGUGAACGUUGAGAUUGUUACGGAGACUGCAGAACCGGGCAGUUAGGAGUGCCUUUGUGAAAGAAUCAACAAUCUGAUCUGUACUGGAAAUGAACCGAAC
rnacentral:lncRNA from 1 species